UCAAGUUUUCAAGCGGACAAACCGGAGUGGACAUGCGCUUGAAGGGAACGCUUUAAAGGUGAUUGCCAAGAGUGCCCAGAUGAAGAUCAAGCUCGAAGAAGAACCGAACACGAUAAAGUUAAAAGCUUCCGCGCGACAUUUCGUCGUAUCUUUUAAACGACGAAUUCAAUCACAUUAAGUUAUUCUUAAACUUUUAUUGUAAAGUUUUA